UAGGGAAUCUUCGGCAAUGGACGAAAGUCUGACCGAGCAACGCCGCGUGAGUGAAGAAGGUUUUCGGAUCGUAAAACUCUGUUGUUAGAGAAGAACAAGGACGUUAGUAACUGAACGUCCCCUGACGGUAUCUAACCAGAAAGCCACGGCUAACUACGUGCCAGCAGCCGCGGUAAUACGUAGGUGGCAAGCGUUGUCCGGAUUUAUUGGGCGUAAAGCGAGCGCAGGCGGUUUCUUAAGUCUGAUGUGAAAGCCCCCGGCUCAACCGGGGAGGGUCAUUGGAAACUGGGAGACUUGAGUGCAGAAGAGGAGAGUGGAAUUCCAUGUGUAGCGGUGAAAUGCGUAGAUAUAUGGAGGAAAACCAGUGGGGAAGGCGGCUCUCUGGUCUGUAACUGACGCUGAGGCUCGAAAGCGUGGGGAGCAAACAGG
rnacentral:rRNA from 1 species